GGGAAAAAAAAAAAAAAAAAAAAAAAGUGAAGGCGACCGUAAUUCUUCGUUUUUGGUUUUUCGGUUUCUGUUCUUUUGGGGUGUUUUUCCUUUUCUGCCGGGGAUCGACCUUGAGGCCUUGCGCUGCUGAGACAGGCGCCAGAACCGCUGAGCUAAACCCCGGCCCCAUUAAUGUUCCUAUUACCUCCAAGCAAACGGGAAAAGGGAAUGAGGAAAUAAAAUGAAUGUUCCACGGAAAGAGCUGAAGGAUACAAACUGUUGAUCGAUCAGACAAAUGGGAAGGCACGUGACCUCAAACUUGGAAGGAAGAGUUAGAGAAGAUUUUAGUCUGCACUGCAAAUGAUAAACUAUUAGUUCACAACUAUUAGGGUGAAGUUUUGGUGCUGUUUUCCCGGAGGGCAUGUCACUUUUCCAAAAAUAACAUUAAAGACGCCGUCGUUUGAAAGGGAAAGAAUGAGUUUUAUCUAGACAUUACACCUCAGGUCCCCACAUGAGCUUCUCAAAUCACUGACGUUUUUAUAAAGGCACUUCGAGCUGGAUACUGCCUGCACCUUGCAUCGCAAAGGCCUCAGGGGUAUGUCACCAUUGCGUGUCCACUCUCUGACAUCCCAUGCCUUCAGUCAAACCCUCUGCGUCUUUCUCUGGCCCCAGCUGAACGCUAUUCCUAUCUUCUUGCCCUACCUAAAAUCCUGCUCUAUCUCCAAGUAUCCUGCUUUGGAGCCUUCUAGGGCAAGUGCCGUUUUCCUUGCCACAUUCCCUCCUCCUACCAGACCUAGAAGGGCAAGAGCUGUUGGAGAUUUUUUCCUCAGUGCCGCUUCUGGGUCCUUGGCCUGCCCGACUUGCAUAAAACAACUCUCCUUUUAAUCUUCUGUCAUCAGAUUCUCUCACCUGGUACUUUGCUUUCUUUUAUCCUUUGAUGAAUUCCCCGGUAACUUUCAUCUGCUCUUGUUUUCCCUUUGGCCCACUGUCUUGUCAUUCAACUGGACACUUGUCUUCAUUCCCGAUGACCUUACCACAUGGGUGAUCAUUUUCAUAUCUCACGUUUCAAAUCCUUGAUCCCUUUUCCAGUUUGACUCCCGCUUUAGUAGUGCCUUUAAAUAGGCAGGCCUUCAAAACCUCAAUUGCAACCUGUUCCCUAUUGAACCCACUACUCAGGUGCCUUUCGCAACACUGCUCCACCAUUUUUCCCACUCCUCUAACCUCUCUAAGACCAAGAGUUAAGUCGACUACCUCUUCCUAGUCUGUUGAAUAGUCUUUUCUUAUCCAACAGGAGGAUGCAUGCUUUUUCCACUGUCCUCAAAUCCACAAUAUUUUCUCCUUUCUCCCAUUGUCACCUCAGAGAAACAAAUAUGAAAAAGUGAGUAUUCUCACAAGUGCCUACACCAGGCUAGGUGGGUAUUGACCCCUACUGCGUGCCUUCCUUCCAUUUAGAGCACAGGUCCUCUUCUUUGGGGUAUCUUGGUUUCAUUCUUCCCAUUGGGCACAUUAGUUCCAUCAACUACCAGGACAAACUGGGAGGCUUGAAAACCUGUCGGUUUAGUAUUAAAGAGUUACGGAGACUAGAACUCCACAAUCAAGUCGUCCACAGGACUGCUUUCCUCUGGAGUCUCCGAGAAGGAUGUGCUAUAGGCCUCUCGAUCGUAUCUUCUGGCAGAUUCUUGCAAUUCUUACCAUUUGGCUUAUGGAUUCAUCACUCCAAUCUCUGCCUCAUUCUCUCUGAGUCUGCGUCUGUAUUCAAGUUUCCCUCUCCUUAGGAAGCACCGCCAAUUGGAUGAAGAGACAACGUACUUCCAGUAUGACCUGAUUUCGCUUGACUGUCUCGUUAAUUAUUUAUUCAUUCGUGUGCAGUGUUUGGCGGCGGGAGAUGGAACGCGGGCCUUUCGGCUUGCAAGGCGGGCGGCAGAACCACUGCGCUAAAUGCCCGGCCCACGACCUCAUUUCCAAUCGAUUCCCUUUGGAAAGGCGUAAAGCCACUAUUUCCAACGAAGGCCACGUUCAAAGGUGUCAGAAAAAUGAAAAGACUACGUGUUCCUACUCAUUUGUGGGAGCAAAAAUGACAGUUUGAUCCUAGAGAAGUAAAGAGGGGAAUAAAGUUCCAUAGAAAAGAAGGAGUCAGAAAAAUGAAGAGUGGUUGGAGAAUGGGCCUGCAAUACAUGGACACUGCGAGGAGGAGUUAUGUUAGUUGCGUUGUGGCUAGAACUCUAGACUAAGGAGUUUCUGAUCUGUUCAAAACAACGCAAAGAUAAGAAGCUGAAGUGUCAUAGCACAUAGAAAUGAUAACUAUAUGAAGAAUGGAAAUGCUAAUUACUCGGAUUGGUUGCUAUAGAGUGCAUGCAUACAGCACAUUCUUCUUUCGUAUGCUACAACUAUAUCCAAAUAUUUGGUGUCCAUUAAAACACGGAGUGAUAUGCAAGGUAAAAGAAAGACAGUUGUCUUUCAGAAAUACAUACUAAACGCUUUCACAGCUUUCUGUCAGAAGCAACUUGGUAAGGAGAAAUUGGAGUAGCUAUGUCCCCAGGCAAUAAGGUGACCAGGGGAUAGUUCCAUCUGGAUUAUUGGACAUAGUUUAAAUCACAUCACUUUUUAAAAAGCAAAGCAAAGGAAACCGGAUUUUGUUCCCCACACCUCGACUCCUAAGAAAUCCAUAGAACUCUUUCAGGAUUUUGCUGAGGAGGAUAUUGUGGGAAUCAAGAAAGAAGGAAAUGAUAAAAGUUUGAUUGCCAAAAAGUGUGCUUAGGAAUUUGUAAGUAUUUCUUUACUAAAAGUAUAAAUCGUCAUGUCCUCUAUCUCCCUGCACACACACACACACACACACACACACACACACACACACACACAUAUAUAUAUAUAUGAUAAAAUAAAAUAUGAUAUAUGAUAUAUGAAAUAUGAUAUAUGAUAUAUGAUAAAAUAAAAUAUGAUAACAUAAAAUAAAACACCUACUAGAAAAAUUAUUCAAUGAGAUUUGAGUUUAAAAGAGUGUAGUCCUUUUAAAUGUAAAAUGUGCUAAAAUCCGAAUGACAUUUACAAAUGAAUUCUAAUGCAUGACUUCUUCUGGGGUCUGAAAGCUGCACUGUGAGAGGUCCCAUGGCAUACCUAUAAAGAAACAUCGCUCUCUACCUGCCAUAAUGAGGGUUUUCAUUCCCUUCAUGAAAAUAUUCCCUUUUACAAAUUGCCAGCCAGGCCGAAUUGGACCAUUUGUUCUAGCUCAGCUCUGCCUCUAUCAUUUUAGAUAACUCUAUCCAUAGCUAGAUCAUCAAUCUAAACAUUAGAUUAAUAGACAUUUGUGCUUUGUUACCUUUACAUAUCAGAGAACAGGACACAUUCCAAUGAUGUUGGAAAAACUAUUACUCACAACCUGUGCAAUCGUUUAGGGAAAAAAGCCUGAACGUGAAGAAACUGUACUGGCUUCAAGCUGCUCUGGGUAAGGGAGCUGUGUAUAGUAGUCUAGUUUCCUUAUAGCUCAUGCAACUUUCCCAUUCGUCAAAGCACAUACAUGGACACAUACCUGUGGACCCACACCCACACUCAAAACUCAUGUAAAAAUAGGGUGACAGAAAAUGAAUAAUUCCUCUUACCAGAUAAAGUCAAACAAUAAUUGACAGAAUCUCUCAGAACAGGAUGUUCAGCCAUGUGGAAGCCCAGCCACACUAAAAGGUAACUGCUCUGUGUUGCCCUUUAAAGUUUGGUACGUCACAAUCCCUUCAUGACAUCAGCCCUCCACAUCACCAGGGUGGACAUCUAAGGCUGAAGGUCUGGCCGCAGGUAAGAAGAGGAAAGGUCUCUUCCACUGCUUGUGGAACCAGGUGGCUGUACAGAGAAGGGUCCAAAGGAGUGGGGAGGUUCCAGUGGAUUGCUGCCAGGGCGCGGGCCAACUCAGGAUCCAGCGCGACCUGAGACCUCGGGAGCAUGACCAGCGACCUCAGGACCAAGGCCUGCAGACCCGCCAUUCUGCAGCGAUCCCACUUGGCGCCCCUGACAGCGACCCCGGGACCGCGCCUGCAGACCUACCCUUCCGCAGCGGGCUGACUCAGCGCCCCCAGUGUGACCAGAGACCUCGGGAACUCGCCCGCAGACCCGCCAGUCUGCAGAGGCGCCAGAGACCUCUGGACCGUGCCAGCAGACCCGCCCAUCUGCAGCGGGCCGACUGGGUGCCCCCAGCGCAACAGGGACCCCAAGACCACGCCCGCAGACCCGCCGGUCUACAGCGGGCCGACUGGGCACCCCCAGCACAACCAGAGACCUCGGGACCGCGCCCGCAGACCCACCCAUCCCCAGCAGGCCAACUGGGUGCCCCCAGCGCGACAGGGACCCCGAGACCGCGCCCGCAGACCCGCCCGUCUGCAGCGGGCUGACUAGGUGCUAAAGAUAAUAAGAGAAAAUAAGAACCAAGAUGCAUCAUGUACAGGUACAAACACCCAA
ensembl:lncRNA